rnacentral:lncRNA from 1 species
GCUUCAUAAUUGUUUUCUGCUGGAGGGUUUUUUCCAUACAAGUGACUCCAUCACAGCCAGAAGCAGAAGUUACCACACAAUGUUGUAAAUGCCUGUGUCCCCAAGGGGACCAUUGGACCCUCAGGGCCAGGGACUGAGUCCCCUUCCCUCUGUGUACACGCUGCCUCGCCAGGAAGUCUCCUCCGAGCUCAAGGCUGGGCUGGGCCCCACUACCAGCCACCCUACCUCGAGUGCUCGUUCAGCGACUGCCUUUGCUCUGAUUAUCAGUCUCCCCACUGGAUUGCGAGCAAUUUGAGGGCAAGAAGGGGCCAUGAUCAAAGGCACAGGCCUCCGGGAAAGAACAGAAGCAGAACAUCAGGGCAAAGACGGCGCUGGGCACUCUGCUCACGUAAUCGCACCUGCCUCUCCCGUGUGUUGGCAAAAUGAUUCCCUCUGCUUCGUCCGUGAGGAGAGUGAGGCACAGAGGAUUUAGUCGUCGGCCGCAUCUGAAGUGAUAGAGCUGGGACCGGGCCCGAGGCGCCCUGACCCUGAGCUCACAGGUUUGGCUGCCAGGCUGCAUGGCCUCCUGGUGCACCUGCAGGAAAGGCUCCUGCGCCCUCCUACCUGGGGUCACAUUUCUGAGAAUGUGAUUGGCGUUUAGUUUGUGGCUCUCCCCUGCUCCAUCCUGACAGCCCCCCACCCCUGGUCUCCUGGCCUCCAGGCUCCCCUCUCUCUCACCCAGUGUCAGCCACACGGCCACCGUGACCCCACCGAGUCACUCCCCUGCAGUGGUCAGUGGCUCCAGGGAUGGAAGCAAUCUGAACUUCUCCAGGCCUUCACAACGGAGCUCAUUCCUCAUCCCACCUGCUCACAGCAACAUGCACACACGUGUACACAUACGUGUGUGUGCAUAUACAGACACACGUGCAUACACCUGUGUGCAUGCGUGCAUACGCACGCAACCACACACACAACCGCUCAUCCCCCGGACCGCAGUGAACCACCUCCGGUUUCCAGGGAGUGCCCCUGCACUCCCUACCCUCCACCUUCCUCCGGGCUCGGCUCCACCUGUCACUCACCUGCUAACAGCCCCAAGUUCCUACCCAGCCAACAAGAUGGAAGCAGACAGCAGACGGCAGACCCCACUCAAUGCCCUCUCCUUGCUUUACUGAGAGAGCCCUGACAUUGUCCUGGGGACCACGUGCCAGGUUGAAAUCCCCUUUGCAGUGAGAGUGGCCACAGGGCCCCCUCGGAAGGCGACUCCGUGGGGCUCCUGAGCACGCCGUUUCUUGCUGAUGGGAAGCACUGACUCCGCCGACCUUCUGCUUCUUGACCUUCACCCUUCCCCUCCUUCCUGCCCGGACUGCAAACCCAAAGCCUAGAGACAGAGCUGCCGGCUUGUGACAGUGAGGACGAAUGCCGCGCUCUAGAGAUGGUAGAGCAGAAAGCUAGAAGGAGCCUCCUCUGUGACCCCUUCUCAAGGGGCUGCUCCAGCCCUGGGCUGCCUCCUUCCAGGCUUCCUGUUUUGUGAGUAAGAUAAACCCCUACUGGUUAAGCCACUAUGGUUCGUGGCUGGUACGUGCAGCCAAUGGAAAGCCUAAUUGGCACAAAGACCAGUUCAUGGGACACCUCCUCCAGCAAGCCUUCCUGGAUUUCCCUGGCAGGUUCAAUCUGGGGCUCUGUGUUCUCACACAAGCUUGGCUCUUUCCUCAUCUCACUUAACACCCAUUGUCUCUCCAGAGAACCAG